rnacentral:rRNA from 1 species
CCCUUAGAUGUUCUGGGCUGCACGCGCGCUACACUGAUGCGCUCAACGAGUUUAUAACCUUGUCCGGCAGGAUUGGGUAAUCUUCUUAAAACGCAUCGUGAUGGGGAUAGAUUAUUGCAAUUAUUAAUCUUCAACGAGGAAUUCCUAGUAAGCGCGAGUCAUCAGCUCGUGCUGAUUACGUCCCUGCCCUUUGUACACACCGCCCGUCGCCCCUACCGAUUGAGUGAUCCGGUGAAUAAUUCGGACUGCAGCAUUGUUCAGUUCCUGAACGUUGCAGCGGAAAGUUUAGUGAACCUUAUCACUUAGAGGAAGGAGAAGUCGUAACA